ensembl:snRNA U6 U6 spliceosomal RNA
GAGCUUACUUUGACAGCACAUAUACUAAAAUUGGAAUGAUACAAUGAAGAUUAGCAUGACCCCUGCACAAGAAUGACAUGCAAAAAAAUAAAAUAAAAUAAAGCUAC